rnacentral:tRNA from 1 species
GGCGAAUGCUUUGGCUGAGUCCGGCCUAAGGUUGGCGCAGAUAAGCCCCAAGAGCGCGUUCUGCAAACGCCAUGCUCCAUGAGGUACAUGGGUUCGAAUCCCAUAGGCAGCCGCCA